CUCUGACCCCAUGCCGAACUCAGAAGUGAAACGCCGUAGCGCCGAUGGUAGUGUGGGGUCUCCCCAUGCGAGAGUAGGGAACUGCCAGGC
rnacentral:rRNA from 1 species